rnacentral:rRNA from 1 species
GAGACACGCUGGCGGCGUGCUUAACACAUGCAAGUCGAACGAGAAUCUGUGGAAAGAGGAUUCGUCCAAUUGAAGCAGAGGACAGUGGCGGACGGGUGAGUAACGCGUGGAUAACCUGCCUCACACAGGGGGACAACAGUUGGAAACGACUGCUAAUACCGCAUAACACAAGUAAUUCGCAUGAAUAACUUGCCAAAGAUUAUAUCGGUGUGAGAUGGAUCCGCGUCUGAUUAGCCAGUUGGCGGGGUAACGGCCCACCAAAGCGACGAUCAGUAGCCGACCUGAGAGGGUGACCGGCCACAUUGGGACUGAGACACGGCCCAAACUCCUACGGGAGGCAGCAGUGGGGAAUAUUGCACAAUGGGCGCAAGCCUGAUGCAGCGACGCCGCGUGAAGGAUGAAGUAUUUCGGUAUGUAAACUUCUAUCAGCAGGGAAGAAAAUGACGGUACCUGACUAAGAAGCCCCGGCUAACUACGUG